CCUACGGGUGGCAGCAGUGAGGAAUAUUGGUCAAUGGGCGAGAGCCUGAACCAGCCAAGUCGCGUGAAGGAUGAAGGAUCUAUGGUUUGUAAGCUUCUUUUAUAUGGGAAUAAAGUGCGGUACGUGUUCCUUUUUGUAUGUACCAUAUGAAUAAGCAUCGGCUAACUCCGUGCCAGCAGCCGCGGUAAUCCGGAGGGUGCGAGCGUUAUCCGGAUUUAUUGGGUGUAACGGGUGCGUAGGUGGUUAAGUAGGUCAGAAGUGAAAGUUUGUGGCUCAACUCUGAGAUUGCCGUUGAAACUGGUGGACUGGAGUAUAGGAGAGGUAGGCGGAAUGCGUGGUGGAGCGGUGAAAUGCAUAGAUAGCAGGAAGAACACCAAUGGCGAAGGCGGCUUACUAAACUGUAACUGACGUUGAGGCUCGAAAGCGUGGGGAGCAAACAGGAUUAGAUACCCGUGUAGUC
rnacentral:rRNA from 1 species